UGGGGGAUAGUUUAACGGUAGAACCUUCGGCUCUGACCCGAAUAGUCCUGGUUCGAAUCCAGGUCCCCCAG
rnacentral:tRNA from 1 species